rnacentral:rRNA from 1 species
GUCCUACCGUGCAGACGGGGUGAAGUAAUGCAUAGGAAUCUACCUAGUAGUAUAGGAUAGCCACUAGAAAUGGUGGGUAAUACUGUAUAAUCCCUGCGGGGGAAAGAUUUAUCGCUACAUGAUGAGCCUAUGUUAGAUUAGCUAGUUGGUGGGGUAAUGGCCUACCAAGGCAGUGAUCUAUAGCUGGUCUGAGAGGAUGAUCAGCCACACUGGAACUGAGACACGGUCCAGACUCCUACGGGAGGCAGCAGUGGGGAAUAUUGGACAAUGGGCGCAAGCCUGAUCCAGCUAUGCCGCGUGAGUGAGGAAGGCCUUAGGGUUGUAAAACUCUUUCAGUAGGGAAGAUAAUGACGGUACCUAUA